UGCCUACGGGGGGCAGCAGUGGGGAAUAUUGCACAAUGGGGGAAACCCUGAUGCAGCGACGCCGCGUGAGUGAAGAAGUAUCUCGGUAUGUAAAGCUCUAUCAGCAGGAAAGAUAAUGACGGUACCUGACUAAGAAGCCCCGGCUAACUACGUGCCAGCAGCCGCGGCAAUACGUAGGGGGCAAGCGUUAUCCGGAUUUACUGGGUGUAAAGGGAUCGUAGACGGCAGCGCACGUCUGGAGCGAAA
rnacentral:rRNA from 1 species